UUUGGAUGUAGCUUAUUAAAAGCAAUUAAAUGUUAAUUAACAGAAUCUACCUAGACAUCUAAAA
rnacentral:tRNA from 1 species